GUUAGGAACAGGGAGCUACCAUUUAUUUGUAGGGGGCCCAGUUAGACGGUUUGGUGAAGUUUCUGAGUUCCUGCUGUGUGCUCAUUUAAGGACUGUUGGUGUGGUGAACUAAACCCGCUUAAUCCUGCUUUUGUGGGGCUCACUCUGGUAGAAAGAUACACAGGCUCUAGACAACACCCAAGCGAAUGUCAGGAGCCAUGCAGAGAAUCACAGUGUUGUGUUUGAGACAGACUGAGAGACCAUUAAGACGACCACGAGUUUGUGCCUCGAUCCCUGGCCCCUAGGAGCUUCUGUGAGAAGUCAGUCUGAAAAGUGUUUGGCUUUGGGAAUGCCGAUGGUUAUUUUGGCAGGCAGAUGUUCUUGGUGGGAUUGUUCUAGGCAGUUUAAAAUGCUCAGCGUCCCUAGUGUCUUCCAUAAAUGCCAGAUCAGAUCCUCAGCCUUUUCCAAAUGGCCCUGGAGGUGGCCUGUCUUGACUGCCCCCGGCUGAGACAACUAUUACUUCCUUAUCAAGCAGACAUUUUGGUCCCAAACAGGAUUAAAAUACUAUUUACAACCUUAAUGCUUUCAGGCAUGGCCAGCAAAAAAAAAAAGUUGGCAGUUUCUUUAUUCCUAUUGGAAGCUACAUCUUUGUAAAGAAAGCUGCGAAAUGUUAUAUAUGCAGUUGAAAAUGGUGAAAGCAUGGCUAAAUAGCUAAGGUAGGCAUCAAUGGCUAAAAAGAGCAAAUCUAGAUGACUUUGCAUUGAUUUAGCUGAAGUUGUCAUAAGAACCACGGUGCUUAUGUAACUCGAUGGCCAGAGUCAAGGGGAAUCCCAGCCAUCAGUUGAAAAGAUAAAGUAGGCUUUGGUGGCUGGAAAGAAGCCAGUGACAGUGAGUUUUUUAGACAGUUGGUCAUUUUUUGGACACGUCAAGUCCUCUUUUCUCUUCUUCCGCCUUCCUCACUUAACUUCUUUCUCUUUUCCUUCUCAUUCUGCCUCCAUUCUCAUUCCAUCUUGCCAGUGGUACUGGGGCAUCACUAGUUUGCCUGAUGGCAGAAGCCAGUGCUGAGGCUUGAGUUUACGCAAAGACCUUUCUCCUAGUAGUCUGACUAUUGUGGUUGUAGAUGGUGCCUGGAUAGUACUCCACAUUUAACCUGGCCUGCUCUGCCACAUGGUUGUAUAACGUGACCAGCUCACAGCUUGUAGCAGUUGGGUAGAAGCCUGGACAGCUGUGUUUCCCAUAAGGUAGCUUCCCGCAGGCUUUUGGUAAGGCCUUUGGUCAGUCAUCUGCCUAAAGGGUUACCACCCAGGCCUUGGCAAUUGAGAGUCCAAGGAGACCUUUAGUAUUGAUGGAUCAUCUUAAUUUUGCCUUGCUCCUCCCCCCCCCCCCCCCCCCCGCUCUUUUUUUUUUUGUAAAAUUGCUAGUAAGUUUAUAGUAAGAUGGCUCCACAGACAGCAGCAGGCCUGUGUCUAGACACCAGUGUGGCCUUUGUUAACUGAAGUCCUUGUCAUCUUCAUAGUUUCAAGUAUUUAGCAUUCUUGAGCCCUUGCUUCUGUUGUUUCAAAGGGCUUUGACCUGAUGGGGUAAAAGAGGAAGGAAAGCUUGAGUGCCUCAUGCAGUCCCACCAUGAAGUAUGCUCUAGAGUUUGCCAGGUUGAAAGUAGCUAGUUUUGCCAUUGGAUCGUGCCCGUCUUCCCCCAAAGACUGCAGGGCGCACCAUCGAGCUGUAUUGUGUACUGUAUGGCCCCAAUCCUUUGGAAUGGUGUGUGGCUGGUAGCAGGCUUUUUGUCAGUGACCAUUCUCCCCACUUUGCCUUGGAACCUGGAGUCAGUGUUGUGUGUCUGUGUCCGCCCCCUGCCCCCAAAGGCAGACAGCACUCAUUCUGUCUCUUCCACAUCCACCCUGCACAUGUACAUACAUUCUCUCAUCAUGGCGUGCUCUGUGGCAUCUCACUGAGGGUGGCUGCUCCUGGAAGGCUCAUGGUUGGUUUUUUCCCUUGAAAAUCUCUGCAGCCCUCAGACAAUUCACCCUAUAUGUGCAUGCAGUGUUUGUCAUUAGUUUUCUUUUUUCCAUUUUCAAUUAAAAAUUCUCCAUUUUGGGUU